rnacentral:snoRNA from 1 species
UUCCGAUGAUGUGAACAUCUUCUAAGUAAUUCCUUAAAUCUCUCCAAUGCUUCAUACAAGGAUUCACCAUCAAAUUGUGUGAAUGAGGUUAUAUCAUCCCUCAUCUU